rnacentral:lncRNA from 1 species
CAGAGAUAUCACAUGAAUUUACCAAAAGCUCAUUCACAUCAGCAUUUAGAAUUACUUUUUUUUUUUUUUUUUUUUUUUCUGCAACAUUUCUCUGCUUAUAAUCUAGUUCAUACUGAAUAGCAAUUUCUAUUUUGACCUAUUACACAGUUGCAUAGUUCUCUGCUCUCCUUGAAGGGCAAAUUGGAUUGGCAUAAUAUUUAGUUCCUUUUUCUGAAGAGAGCUUUUGUCUCUGUAAUUGGUUCUUAACUGGUGAGGGCUUAGACAUGAACUCCCUGAAAUUUGUGUGUGAGCUACAACUCGAGUUAAAUGACACUUGUCCAUGCAUGAUGCAUGGAAGAUUUGGGGCAACUGCUGUCAUCAGGUCUCUAACACAAGCUUUAGUGACAUUUAUUGACGGAGGAUUCCCACUCUGUUUCCAGUUCUUGGGUGAAGUGAAGCCUGCUACAUCACAAUGAGGCUUUAUGAUGUGUUCGGUAUGCCUCACAUAUUAUGAUUUUCAGCCAGCAAGGGGAAACAGUGGGCCAGAUAUGCUAUGGUCUGCUAAUCCAGAGAAGAUAAAAUGAGUCUGCAUGCUCAGUCUAGACUUAUGCCAAAACCUCUGGAUGCACACUGUUUCCCUCCUCUGCUGCAUUACACAAGAGUGGCAUCCAUCAGAACUCCAGGAGUGCUUUUACAGCCUAUGAAGUCACAUGUUGUCCUGUUGAGUGCAGCUGAGCAGAACAAUGCAGGAAUAACUGCUGUAUCAGGCAAAGGUCCACUGAGCUCACUGUCCUUAUCGACCCCAAACCUGUAACAGAUGUUUAGGGAAGAAUCUGAGAAUAAGACUGUUAUUUGUUGUUCUUCAGAAUGUCCUCUUGUCCUUCUUUAGUGAUUUAUGACUCUGGAACUUCUUUUGCCAGAAGUGUCUUCAUAUUUGAAUUGAUAACUCAACCUUUCAUCACAGUGUUAACAUAGAUAGAAGUCUAUAGAGAAGACUAACUAUGUAGUGAAAGUUUAAAGAAUCAGGAUAUUAUUUUUCAUUGCUUCCUAAAUUGCAUCAGGAAAUAUGGAUAAUAAUGUCUCAAAAAUGUGUUUUGUUUGCUUGUUUGUUGAAAGAGCUAACAUAUAUUUUCAUCUGGGUAAAUAGUUCUAUUGUAUAAAUACGUGUCUAUCUCCAUAUCAUGAAAAUUCUUCUACUGAGCAGGGAGUGAAUAUGUAAUCACUCUUUAUACUAAGAUGUUAAUGCUUUUAGAUGUAUGUUGGCUGACAGUUUGAUUUGGCUGUUGGUUGCAGCUCUUUUUUUGUUUGUUUGCUUUUAACUAUCAAUGAAUAUCUUACUGAGGA